GGAUAAGGAUUUCUCUCGGGCUAGCUCGUCGCCGUACCCCACUGCUGCUUGCGGAAGCCACCGCAUCUCUCCGCCAUAGCUUGCCCACACGUGUGCGAGCAACCGUAGCUCCCCUGCUGAAGGCCCAUGCCUUGCUGAUGCCUGCGCGAGCCACUGUGGUUCGUCGCCGGUGCUCGUCCAUGUCUGUAGGCGCCGGCGCAGCUCGUCCUCGCCUCGCGGAUACCUACACAAGCCACCGCAGCCUGCCGCGGGUUCUCCCCCACGCCCGUGCGCGACAGCGCAGCUCUCCGCGGGUGCUUGCCCUCCCCUACGCGCAUCGCGCAGAUCGCCCUCCCCUGCUGGAGAAGCAUUCUAGUGGCGAGACUGGUGCUGAAGAUAAGGUGGAUGCCUUGUGUAGGUCCUGAGUAAGUGGCUUAAUGGCAGCAACGGCCGGAGGAGGAGAUGGAUGCGUGUGCAGGUCCUGAAGGUGUUGAAUGCAAGCAACAUUGAUGACUUCCGGGUAGAACCAGGGUGGCUUCCUGGCGUCACCGAGAGUAGCUCUGCCACUGAGUCACUGGAUCUACUUGCAAGUAGUGGAGCGCCCUAACUCAUUCAGAUCCGUAAGCAUCCUUUGUUUCCUUCUUUUUGGUUGUUUGAAUCGUUUGAUUCCACUUUGUUUUCAGUGCAAAGAAUAACUACCACCAGUUAGAUCGACCUGUGAUGAUAAUAUAUGUGAUUAAUUUAUGUUUGUCAUCCUCGUGUUCUUGUACGAUUAACAUCUACCACUACAUCAUCUAUUUUUGGAAUGAAAUUUAACUAAUGUAUAUAUAUACUUUUGUGUCAGGUAGUCUGAUUGUUUAGCAUCUGUUGGUAUAAAUAACAUAGUUUUCUGUUUAAUUAAAUAAUUAACAUUUUUUUCUUAUAGACCGCAACAGUAUCUCCACUAAGAAUAUUUGACAGAAUUGUUUCUUGUUAUCUGAAUAUUUUUAUCACCAUGGCUAUACAGUAAUAGAAUGAAUCUAUUAGGCAGUGUUCUAUCUGACGGGGACAACUUCUGAUGCUACCAUAUAUUUUUUUGACAGUAAGACUCAUGGAACAGAAUAGACUAAAACUUCUGUCUGGAAAAGAAGCAAUAGAGAAAAUUAAUUUGCUAGAUUUGAAAAUCACAACCUGGUAUUUUAGUGUUUAGUGAAUUGACAGCAUCAUCACAAACACCAUACAGAGAGAGUUUUUUUUGUCUAAUUAGAUAAUUAAUGACAUACAUGAACAGAUACACUGGGUGAACUAUGUGGUCAUCACCCCUCUGUCUAAUACUCAUCGCAAGCACCAAAAUAAAUUAUAUUGAGUCUAGUUUUGUAUAGAAAGCCCAACUGAUGAUGCUAGCAUAACUUCCAAAAGUCGGUCUUGACAGGUACUCCCAUACUACUAACCUGAAAAAAAUUGAAAAAAAAUUACUAAAAUUAUGAAGCAAACAAUUAAGCAAAAGAGAAGUUUUCUCCAACCAUUUUUUUUUCCUUCUAAUUACCAACAGAGAAUUAAUUAUGUCCUUGUUAAGCCCAACUGGUGAAGGGAGUAUAACUUCCAAAAACCAGUGUUGGCAGGAACUCCUAAACUACUAACCUGAAAAAAGCAUAUCCAUAUAGAGAUGAGAGCCGAAAAACCUUUAGCCAAAAUCGGUAGCAAAAAGAAAAUCCAUGUAGAGAUGGCAAGUGGAAGUUCUUUAUAAUGGGAGUCGGGAAAAAAUCCGAGUAUUUGGUGACUAAAUUAGCUACAGAAUAUGACCAAGCUACCACAUUAAUGUAUGCCUAAAGAAUACAUCUAAAAACAAAGGAUGAUGAAGUCAAGUGUGACAUACAUAUCACAUAUCAAUACCUAAUAUCUUAUUAUCAGAAUGCAUCCCAAUCCAUGAUGAUCCCAGCAACAUCUCCAAAAUGGCAAUCCUGUGUGGAUAGUAUAUACAUACUCACUUCACAGUGCAAUUUACUGUAUAUUUAAUAUCAUGUGUUCAGCAUAUAGUACCCUAUAAGGCUAACAAAUCUACAUUAGAUUUCUUUAGUACAAGAGCAGAUUUUGCGAAGCUUCUAAAAGAAAUUGAUAAUGCCUCAAUGGCUGAGCGCCCUACUUUAGGCAAACUUGUUCAAAGAAUUAAAAAUGAUUCAUUUUAUUUUUAGGAGAGAGAAAACUAUCACAAAAGGAACAAUAAAUACCUGAGAAUAAUUUAGUAGUAAAAUAGUCAUCAAGCUGUACCAUUUCCUCUGCAUGUCAGCUAUUCAGCACAUCAUGUGUUUAUUUGUUCAAAAACCAUGUGAAAUUAAACCACAAUUACUUCCAUCGAGAAAAAUGAAACACAAAACGUAAUGGAGAGAUUAAGAAUAAAUAUACCAUGUCAUAUUAAAGAUGCAGGUUCCGAAUUCCUUGCACAUUCACACACGGAGCUGGACCCCCAAAUUUGUGUCCUCAGCACAGACAUGCACGCAAUGCCUGAACAUUCUUCUUAGAUUAGGAAUUUGUAGCAUAUGCACCCAACUUUAGAUCUGAUGAAAUUCUAGUACUAAUAACUCGUCUACUCGUACAAGGAAACCACACACACCAGAGGAGAGGAAAGGGAGAUGAACGGGACCUGUUGCCGGGGCCGAAGUUGGGGAAGACCGAGGGGAGUCGAUUAGGAUGGAGAGCGGCAGGGCAGCGAGCUAUCCAGUGCCAACUGCAGGCGUGCCACCUUGGACCAUGGGAAGGCCACCACCAUGUAUCCGCCUUGGAGGCCAGGGACAGAGCCGGAGCCAAGGAAGAUCCAUGAGAAGACGAUGGCAUGCGGCUCUCCUGAUUCAUGGUGUAGCUUGCACGCACCUCCCGGCCGGCCAGACGGAGCGGCAACCAGGCGCACCAUGGGAUCUUGGGUGGAGGCUGGAGGGCAGCAUCAGGAGGAGAGAUGGGCCUAUAGGUGAGGAGUGGUUUGACACAUAAGAGAAGAACACGACAAGGAGCUACUUAUAGGCAAGCAAAGAAGGACCCAGAACACAAACGAUGUGCAAACGUGGAACUCCAAACAUGCAAAGGUGGACACAUGCAUGCAUGCAUGAGCCAUGUAGCAGCACACAUAUACCAGCCCAUACAACAUCCCAUGCAGCUAAUAUUUUUUUCUCACAUGAGACAAAAUCAGCCCAUGCACUCAUACCAUCUUUCCACAUGAGACAAUAUAAGCCCAUGCACCUCUAGAAGAAACAUGCACAGUCCAAGUGAGCAACCAAGAGAGCAAUCAACCAUUUCACGAAAGCCACUGUGCACACGUGUCGCUCAAUCAGCAAGGGUAAAAAAAUUCCAAAAAACCAGAAAAAUCGAACCCUUACGGGCCUUGUCACGUUUAGCUUCACAACCAGGAUGAACUGAGCGACAAUACGACAAAUGAAUAAUACCACAAAUUUCAGUCCAUAAGCUACUUGUUGCAAUCCGUUUUGUUGCACUUGCUGUAGCUUAUUCAAAGACAGCAAUGGAAUUGUAGGUAGAAGUGGCAAAAGUAUGUAGACCUCAAAUUUCUGUACAUUGGCAUGGGAGAGAUAUACAGACACUUCAACAAUGAUUCAUAGAUGAAUAUGAAAUAAGUUCACAUCUGCCAAAAAACCGUGAUGAGUUCACCUAAUGAGUUCAUAGAUAAAACUAAAUGAGUUCACAACGCAGAAUGUAGAUGAGCUCACCGCUGAUAUAAGCUCACGGCUCAGAGAAAUUGAAGGAAUUGAGUUCAAAUACAAGAAAACUACUUGAUGAAAUAAGUCUGGAACUCCGUGUUUGGAACUUGAUUUAUGUUUAAUAAUAUGAAUGUGUGCAUCAUUUGAUGCAGAGGCCCGGGUAAUCCCCUUUUUGAAAUAAAAUAUGUGUAACAUCAAUUUCAUAGGGAUCAAUCAUCCAAUUUGUAGCUUUCUCUUUGGUAUAAGCUUCUUUGUUGGAUAUGUGGCGUUGGAAUGAGACUAAUGUUACAGCCCAAUAAGCGGUAUGUGAUAGCAGGCCUUCUUUGUGUCGACGGGCCAUAUUAAACUCAUCUUUGUCCGGCAGGACAGUGGAGUGAUUUGGAAAUGUACUAAACAUUUCUCUCCUCGGAGAAGAAAUUCCCAACUCCACAAACAGUUGAUGUUCUUCCAGGUCGCUACAGUGAUGGAGUCAAUUCAUUGUGAUGACUUCCGGGUAGAAC